UACGGGGGGGGCAAGCGUUGUCCGGAAUCAUUGGGCGUAAAGAGCGUGUAGGCGGUUCGGUAAGUCGGCUGUGAAAGUCCAGGGCUCAACCCUGGGAUGCCGGUCGAUACUGCCGGACUAGAGUUCGGAAGAGGCGAGUGGAAUUCCCGGUGUAGCGGUGAAAUGUGCAGAUAUCGGGAGGAACACCUAUGGCGAAGGCAGCUCGCUGGGACGUUACUGACGCUGAGACGCGAAAGCGUGGGGAGCAAACAGG
rnacentral:rRNA from 1 species